GACGAACGCUGGCGGCGUGCUUAACACAUGCAAGUCGAACGGAAAGGCCCUGCUUUUGUGGGGUGCUCGAGUGCCGAACGGGUGAGUAACACGUGAGUAACCUGCCCUUGACUUUGGGAUAACUUCAGGAAACUGGGGCUAAUACCGGAUAGGAGCUCCUGCUGCAUGGUGGGGGUUGGAAAGUUUCGGCGGUUGGGGAUGGACUCGCGGCUUAUCAGCUUGCUGGUGGGGUAGUGGCUUACCAAGGCUUUGACGGGUAGCCGGCCUGAGAGGGUGACCGGCCACAUGGGGACUACGAGACGGCCCAGACUGGUACGGGAGGCAGCAGGCGGGAAUAUUGCACAAUGAGCCGAAGCCUGAUGCAGCAACGCCGCGUGCGGGAUGACGGCCUUCGGGUUGAGAACCGCUGUCGCCUGUGACGAAGCGGGAGUGACGGUAAUGGGUAAAGAAGCACCGGCUAACUACGUG
rnacentral:rRNA from 1 species